rnacentral:rRNA from 1 species
AGAUGUGUAUAAGAGACAGCAUGUGGACAGUAUGGGAGUGAGAAUGUUGGCAUGAGUAGCGAGAUGUGGGUGAGAAUCCCACAGGCCGUAAACCCAAGGUUUCCAGGGGAAGGUUCGUCCGCCCUGGGUUAGUCGGGACCUAAGCUGAGGCCGAAAGGCGUAGGUGAUGGACAACAGGUUGAUAUUCCUGUACUACCGAUAACCGUUUGAGAGAAGGGAUGACACAGUAGGAUAAGCUAAGCACACUGUUGGUUAUGUGUGCCCAAGCAUUGAGGCAGUCAAAGUAGGCAAAUCCGCUUUGAUAAUGCUGGGAUGUGAUGGGGAGCGAAAUUUAGUAGCGAAGUAGCUGAUUUCACACUGUCAAGAAAAGUCUCUAUCGAGGUUAAAGGUACCCGUACCGCAAACCGACACAGGUGGGUGAGGAGAGUAUCCUAAGGCCAGCGAGAGAACUGUUGUUAAGGAACUCGGCAAAAUGACCCCGUAACUUAGGGAUAAGGGGUGCCACCAUCAGGUGGCCGCAGAGAAUAGGCCCAAGCGACUGUUUACCAAAAACAUAGGUUUCUGCUAAGUCGCAAGACGAUGUAUAGGAGCUGACGCCUGCCCGGUGCUGGAAGGUUAAGGGGAUCUGUUAGAGCAAUCGAAGCAGUGAACUUAAGCCCCAGUAAACGGCGGCCGUAACUAUAACGGUCCUAAGGUAGCGAAAUUCCUUGUCGGGUAAGUUCCGACCCGCACGAAAGGCGUAACGAUUUGGGCACUGUCUCAACAACAGACUCGGUGAAAUUGUAAUUCCGGUGAAGAUGCCGGAUACCUGCGACAGGACGGAAAGACCCCAUGGAGCUUUACUGUAGCUUGACAUUGGGUCUUGGUACUACAUGUACAGGAUAGGUGGGAGGCUUUGAAACCAGGACGCCAGUUUUGGCGGAGCCAUCCUUGGGAUACCACCCUUGUAGUACUGGGACUCUAACCAUAGGCCAUGAAUCUGGUCUUGGGACACUGUCAGGUGGGCAGUUUGACUGGGGCGGUCGCCUCCCAAAAGGUAACGGAGGCGCUCAAAGGUUCUCUCAGUACGGUCGGAAAUCGUACGUAGAGUGUAAAGGCAAAAGAGAGCUUGAUUGCAAGACAUACAGGUCGAGCAAGGAUGAAAAUCGGACUUAGUGAUCCGGUGGUUCUGCGUGGAAGGGCCAUCGCUCAACGGAUAAAAGCUACCCUGGGGAUAACAGGCUUAUCUCCCCCAAGAGUCCACAUCGACGGGGAGGUUUGGCACCUCGAUGUCGGCUCAUCACAUCCUGGGGCUGUAGUAGGUCCCAAGGGUUGGGCUGUUCGCCCAUUAAAGUGGUACGCGAGCUGGGUUCAGAACGUCGUGAGACAGUUCGGUCCCUAUCCGUCGCAGGCGUAGGAAAUUUGAGAAGACCUGUCCUUAGUACGAGAGGACCGGGAUGGACGUACCUCUGGUGUACCAGUUGUCCUGCCAAGGGCAUGGCUGGGUAGCUAUGUACGGAAUGGAUAAGCGCUGAAAGCAUCUAAGCGCGAAGCCAACUUCAAGAUAAGAUUUCCCACCGCAAGGGUAAGACCCCAGAAAGACUAUCUGGUUGAUAGGUCGAAGGUGUAAGUGCAGCAAUGUAUUUAGCUUAUCGAUACUAAUAGGUCGAGGACUUGACCAA